rnacentral:rRNA from 1 species
CUUAUGCGUUGUUGGGUAGGGGAGCGUUCUGUAAGCCUGUGAAGGUGUGCUGUGAGGCAUGCUGGAGGUAUCAGAAGUGCGAAUGCUGACAUAAGUAACGAUAAAGCGGGUGAAAAGCCCGCUCGCCGGAAGACCAAGGGUUCCUGUCCAACGUUAAUCGGGGCAGGGGGAGUCGACCCCUAAGGCGAGGCCGAAAGGCGUAGUCGAUGGGAAACAGGUUAAUAUUCCUGUACUUGGUGUUACUGCGAAGGGGGGACGGAGAAGGCUAUGUUGGCCGGGCGACGGUUGUCCCGGUUUAAGCGUGUAGGCUGGUUUUCCAGGCAAAUCCGGAAAAUCAAGGCUGAGGCGUGAUGACGAGGCACUACGGUGCUGAAGCAACAAAUGCCCUGCUUCCAGGAAAAGCCUCUAAGCAUCAGGUAACAUCAAAUCGUACCCCAAACCGACACAGGUGGUCAGGUAGAGAAUACCAAGGCGCUUGAGAGAACUCGGGUGAAGGAACUAGGCAAAAUGGUGCCGUAACUUCGGGAGAAGGCACGCUGAUAUGUAGGUGAAGUCCCUCGCGGAUGGAGCUGAAAUCAGUCGAAGAUACCAGCUGGCUGCAACUGUUUAUUAAAAACACAGCACUG